GGAACACCUCUCCAAAGUGGGAUGUUGUUGUGGACAGCUGAGAGAACUCUGCAGAUGAGUACUUGACCAUCUUUCACCCAGUCUCCAGCAAUGCAAGAGUGCUGUUCCCUUCCCAUCUGAAGAGGUUUGAAGUGAAAAUGUUUUCCUUCACAAGUGGCCAGGAUGCACUGAAAGGACAGAUUUACUUCCACUGCAGUGUUGUGAUAUGUGAUUCAAACCGGCCAUCAGACAGCCUCUGUAGCAGACGGUGCAUUCCAGGAAAACAGAGG